UCGACGCAGAGUNNGUNNCACCACAGNGCGAGUAGUUUCUCNCCGCACAGAAGAUGAACGCUGCGCAGCUACACAUGCAGUCGAGCGGGGGAAGGUAGCUUGCUACUGGACCUAGCGGCGGACGGGUGAGUAAUGCUUAGGAAUCUGCCUAUUAGUGGGGGACAACAUCUCGAAAGGGAUGCUAAUACCGCAUACGUCCUACGGGAGAAAGCAGGGGAUCUUCGGACCUUGCGCUAAUAGAUGAGCCUAAGUCGGAUUAGCUAGUUGGUGGGGUAAAGGCCUACCAAGGCGACGAUCUGUAGCGGGUCUGAGAGGAUGAUCCGCCACACUGGGACUGAGACACGGCCCAGACUCCUACGGGAGGCAGCAGUGGGGAAUAUUGGACAAUGGGGGGAACCCUGAUCCAGCCAUGCCGCGUGUGUGAAGAAGGCCUUAUGGUUGUAAAGCACUUUAAGCGAGGAGGAGGCUACUCUAGUUAAUACCUAGAGAUAGUGGACGUUACUCGCAGAAUAAGCACCGGCUAACUCUGUGCCAGCAGCCGCGGUAAUACAGAGGGUGCGAGCGUUAAUCGGAUUUACUGGGCGUAAAGCGUGCGUAGGCGGCUUAUUAAGUCGGAUGUGAAAUCCCCGAGCUUAACUUGGGAAUUGCAUUCGAUACUGGUGAGCUAGAGUAUGGGAGAGGAUGGUAGAAUUCCAGGUGUAGCGGUGAAAUGCGUAGAGAUCUGGAGGAAUACCGAUGGCGAAGGCAGCCAUCUGGCCUAAUACUGACGCUGAGGUACGAAAGCAUGGGGAGCAAACAGGAUUAGAUACCCUGGUAGUCCAUGCCGUA
rnacentral:rRNA from 1 species